GAUGCCAGAGGACAAAGAGGGCAAGCGUCUUGAGCUGGAGAAGGUGUUAGCGUUACACGAUGAAAGCGUGGAGCCAAUCAAACUUCCUUUCUCACUUUUGGAGGAAAUUACAGGAAAUUUCUCUGAAGAUAAUCUACUUGGCAAAGGUGGAUUUGGAUCUGUUUACAAGGGAACACUUCGGAAUGGGAUGAUUGCAGUCAAGAGAAUGUCUGUUGUAUUGAAUACACUACGGAGCCAUAAGAUUAAGAUGGAGGAUUUCUUCAAUGAGGCUAUAUGUAUGAAGGAGGCUAAGCACAAAAAUAUCGUACGUCUUCUUGGAUACAGUUGUGACAAAGAACCUGAGAAGGUUCAAGGCUGUGAUGAAGCAACACGCGAAAUGUUUCUCUGCUCUGAGUACAUACCUAACGGCAGCCUUCAAGAGUACAUCAAAGACGAAUCUUCUAGAUUCCAAUGGAACACACGCUAUCACAUAAUCAUGGGAAUGUGUGAGGGUGUAGAUUAUCUCCACCGGAUGCAUGAGCCGAUGGUUCAUAUGGAUCUCAAGCCCUUAAAUAUA